CCAGACUCCUACGGGAGGCAGCAGUGGGGAAUAUUGCGCAAUGGGGGAAACCCUGAUGCAGCAACGCCGCGUGAGUGAGGAAGUAUUUCGGUAUGUAAAGCUCUAUCAGCAGGGAAUAGAAAAGAAGGUACCUGAAAAAGAAGCCCCGGCUAACUACGUGCCAGCAGCCGCGGUAAUACGUAGGGGGCAAGCGUUAUCCGGAAUUACUGGGUGUAAGGGGGGCGCAGACGGCAGCGCAAGCCAGGAGUGAAAGCCCGGGGCCCAACCCCGGGACUGCUCUUGGAACUGCGCGGCUGGAGUGCAGGAGGGGCAGGCGGAAUUCCUGGUGUAGCGGUGAAAUGCGUAGAUAUCAAGAGGAACACCGGUGGCGAAGGCGGCCUGCUGGACUGCGACUGACGUUGAGGCCCGAAAGCGUGGGGAGCAAACAGGAUUAGAUACCCCCGUA
rnacentral:rRNA from 1 species